AGUGAACGCUGGCGGUAGGCCUAACACAUGCAAGUCGAACGGCAGCACAGUAAGAGCUUGCUCUUACGGGUGGCGAGUGGCGGACGGGUGAGGAAUACAUCGGAAUCUACUUUUUCGUGGGGGAUAACGUAGGGAAACUUACGCUAAUACCGCAUACGCCCCACGGGUGAAAGCAGAGGAUCUUCGGACCUUGCGCGAUUGACUGAGCCGAUGUCGGAUUAGCUAGUUGGCGGGGUAAAGGCCCACCAAGGCGACGAUCCGUAGCUGGUCUGAGAGGAUGAUCAGCCACACGGGAACUGAGACACGGUCCAGACUCCUGCAGGAGGCAGCAGUGGGGAAUAUUGGACAAUGGGGGAAAGCCUGAUCCAGCCAUACCGCGUGAGUGAAGAAGGCCUUCGGGUUGUAAAGCCCUUUUGUUGGGAAAGAAAAGCAGCAGGUUAAUACCCCGCUGUUCUGACGGUACCCAAAGAAUAAGCACCGGCUAACUUCGUG
rnacentral:rRNA from 1 species